GAUGAACGCUGGCGGCGUGCCUAAUACAUGCAAGUCGAGCGAACGGACGAGAAGCUUGCUUCUCUGAUGUUAGCGGCGGACGGGUGAGUAACACGUGGAUAACCUACCUAUAAGACUGGGAUAACUUCGGGAAACCGGAGCUAAUACCGGAUAAUAUUUUGAACCGCAUGGUUCAAAAGUGAAAGACGGUCUUGCUGUCACUUAUAGAUGGAUCCGCGCUGCAUUAGCUAGUUGGUAAGGUAACGGCUUACCAAGGCAACGAUGCAUAGCCGACCUGAGAGGGUGAUCGGCCACACUGGAACUGAGACACGGUCCAGACUCCUACGGGAGGCAGCAGUAGGGAAUCUUCCGCAAAGGGCGAAAGCCUGACGGAGCAACGCCGCGUGAGUGAUGAAGGUCUUCGGAUCGUAAAACUCUGUUAUUAGGGAAGAACAUAUGUGUAAGUAACUGUGUACAUCUUGACGGUACCUAAUCAGAAAGCCACGGCUAACUACGUG
rnacentral:rRNA from 1 species